GCCCCAGCUCUGUUUGAGGUGCCCCUCUUACGAGGAGCAGCUCCACCCAACCUCCCCUCCUCUUCCCAGAGCUCCUGCGACUCCAGCUCACUGUGCGGGGCUGGGGCACUGCAGCCAGAUCUCAUCCCCACAGCCCUCUUCUGUCCUGGAUCCUCUCAGACACGCCCUGGUGUUUCAAAGGUAUGAGCGGAGGAAGACAAGGAAGUGAAAGAAGAGAGUUUCAGAAAGAACACCACGGUCCGAGAUGACAAACGAGGUAGGCGAGUGGCUGCCGUGCCCACCGCAUUCCAGGCUCAAACAGGACGUAAGGGGUAGGAAAGCCACACGGAAGACCUUCUGGGCCCUGCAUCCCACCUUGCCCCACACACUAAGUGAAUAAAAACAACGCAGUGGCAGCUGUACAGGGGACAAAGAAGAAAAUAGGGGGAUAAGAUGACCAAGAUGUUGCCUUUGAUAGCCAGCAGCUAUCUAUAAUUGAUCCUAAAUCACGGUGGCGUGUCAAGUUCUGGAGGCUGGUGCCUACCCUCUUCUAACCCUUACAACAGCCCCAGGGGAGAGAGACGAUAGUCUCCUCAGAGCUGAGAAACUGACCCACAGAGAAGUUAAGUGAUGGCCCAAGGUGACGCACGGUGUGUCGCUCAGGUGCAGUUCUCUGAGCGCGGGUAUCGGAUGUAGAUUGGUUUGUACCUUUACUCUCACAUCUGGCUCAGCCGGGCACAGCAGGUGCAUGACACGUGAUGAAGCCAUCUGGAGCCAAGACCCCAGGGUCGGUUCCCCCGCGCUGUGUCCCGCUCACCCGCGGAAUUCUCACGUCCAACCUUCAGGGCAGUCACAGCGCUGAGACUCCGACUCGACUCCCGGACCUGGUCCUCGGCCCGCCUGCCCGCUCCCAGGUCCGGCUCCCCCUGUGGGUCCCUGCUCCUGGUCCCUUCCUGCUGACCAAAAGGUGUUCAGUACAACAGAAGGCUCUGUGCUUGUUUUCCUGAGACCUGUUAUUAACCUAAGCUCUUAAAACGGCAGCAGCAUACACUCAANUGAGGGGAGAAGCGCAGGUGCGGCUGAAGGCGCGCAGGCGGGAGCACAGGCGGGCAGGUGCCCCAGGAGCCAGCGGGGGACCCCCUGCUGCGCUGGCAGAAGCAGGCCAGGCAGAUUGAGGCAGCCUUCAGAGCCGCUCAGAGACCCG
rnacentral:lncRNA from 1 species